GCCUAAGGAUGAGCUCGCGCCUGAUUAGCUUGUUGGUAGGGUAAUGGCCUACCAAGGCCACGAUCAGUAGCUGGUUUGAGAGAAUGAUCAGCCACACUGGGACUGAGACACGGCCCAGACUCCUACGGGAGGCAGCAGUAGGGAAUCUUCCGCAAUGGGCGAAAGCCUGACGGAGCAAUACCGCGUGAGGGAUGACGGCCUAUGGGUUGUAAACCUCUUUUUUCAGGGAGGAAUCAAUGACGUGUACCUGAAGAAUAAGCAUCGGCUAACUCCGUGCCAGCAGCCGCGGUAAUACGGGGGAUGCAAGCGUUAUCCGGAAUCAUUGGGCGUAAAGCGCCUGUAGGUUGUUUAGUAAGUUUGUUGUUAAAGACUAGGG
rnacentral:rRNA from 1 species